AUUGAACGCUGGCGGCAUGCCUUACACAUGCAAGUCGAACGGUAACAGGCCUUCGGGCGCUGACGAGUGGCGAACGGGUGAGUAAUGCAUCGGAACGUGCCCAGAGGUGGGGGAUAACGUAGCGAAAGUUACGCUAAUACCGCAUACGAUCUACGGAUGAAAGCGGGGGACUCGCAAGAGCCUCGCGCGAUUGGAGCGGCCGAUAUCAGAUUAGGUAGUUGGUGAGGUAAAGGCUCACCAAGCCAACGAUCUGUAGCUGGUCUGAGAGGACGACCAGCCACACUGGAACUGAGACACGGUCCAGACUCCUACGGGAGGCAGCAGUGGGGGAAUUUUGGACAAUGGACGCAAGUCUGAUCCAGCCAUUCCGCGUGCAGGACGAAGGCCUUCGGUUGUAAACUGCUUUGUACAGAACGAAAAGGUCUCUAUUAAUACUAGGGGCUCGAUGACGGUACUGUAAGAAUAAGCACCGGCUAACUACGUGCCAGCAG
rnacentral:rRNA from 1 species